rnacentral:tRNA from 1 species
GGGCGAGUGGAGAAACUGGUAGACUCGUAUGCUUGAGGGGCAUAUGCUGAAAAGCAUGAGGGUUCGAAUCCCUCCUCGCCCACCA